ACAAAUAGACUAAUUCUUUGAAAACCACCACCACCAUCACCCCACUCAGUUUGGGAAAACACUGAGCCUCAGUAUUCUCUGCCUCAGGAGUUGCUGAUUAUGAAUUCGGAACAAAAGGAAGGAUCUACAGUAGCUGGAAAGACACAAGGAAGUUGCAGCAAAAUAUCUAGUGCCAGUGUGACACACUUCCUACCCCAGAAGAAAAUUGUAUGUCAGACUAACUGGACAAUAAUUGUUGGGAUCCUCUUUUUUCCCCUCUUUGAAGAUGG